AACGCACGAGACCUGCGGACCUGCGGAGGGAUCAUUACAGAGUUGCAAAACUCCAAACCAUUGUGAACUUACCUUUGCCGUUGCUUCGGCGGGCGGCCCGGGUCCCGACCCGGCGCCCCCCGGCCCCGUCAGGGGCGCCCGCCGGAGGUAAACCAAACUCUUGAAUUGUAUGGCCUCUCUGAGUCUUCUGUACUGAAUAAGUCAAAACUUUCAACAACGGAUCUCUAGAUCGGAAGAGCA
rnacentral:misc_RNA from 1 species